AAUUUGACAAAGAAUGAGAUAUUUACCUGGAAAAUACAGAGAAGAUUAGUACAGUCCCUGUGCCAGGAGGACAGGCAAAUUUGUGAAGUAUUUGGUAUUUUA